rnacentral:rRNA from 1 species
GAUGAACGCUGGCGGCGUGCUUAACACAUGCAAGUCGAACGUGAUCCAUUAGCAAUAGUGGUGAAAGUGGCGAACGGGUGAGUAACACGUAGGUAACCUGCCCUGAAGCGGGGGAUAACGACUGGAAACGGUCGCUAAUACCGCAUGAGUCCAUUGAAACGGGAGUGAGAUGGAGAAAAUUCUGGUGCUUCAGGAGGGGCCUGCGUCCGAUUAGCUAGUUGGUGAGGUAACGGCUCACCAAGGCGACGAUCGGUAGCGGGUCUGAGAGGACGAUCAGCCACACGGGAACUGAGACACGGUCCCGACUCCUACGGGGGGCAGCAGUGAGGAAUAUUGGGCAAUGGGCGGAAGCCUGACCCAGCAACGCCGCGUGAAGGAUGAAGGCCUUCGGGUUGUAAACUUCUUUUAUGGGGGAAGAGUAAGGACGGUACCCCAGGAAUAAGUCACGGCUAACUACGUGCCAGCAGCCGCCGUAA